GCUCGCAAAUUAGCGAGCAAGUACCUGUGGUCGCAAAUUUGCGAGCAGAAAUAGGUGUUCGCUAAAUACUUAAUUCUUCUCAUUUGCUUCAUUCCCACACGCCCAAUUGCUCUCAUUUGUAUUAAAAAUGAAUUAGACUUAAAUUCCUUCUUAAAUUCCUUGAAGCCGUCGAAUUCCUCCCCUGAUUCAAUUCUCACUGACUUCGUUUUCCUCUCAAUUGAGAUCCAGAGGCAGCCUUAGCAAAGUUAAAUACAUGUUGUUUUGGACAGUGAUGAAGCUCUCUUAAGCUCCUGAGGUGGCUCUAGGCUAUGGGAUUGAGUAAUGUGUGCCUCUUAGAUCCAAAAGUAAAAUGGAGAAGUGAUAUGGGAAGAGGCACAAAAGUGACUAGGUCAUUCAAUGUACUAUUUUGCAGGUUUAAGUCAUAAAAAGAGCAUUCACCAAGAGUCUCGAAGAUCUAUACUUAAUCUAUCUAUUGCCACCUAAACACGGGGUUGCUUUUUCAUCUGCAAAGUUACAAACUGGCACUAAUUUAUUGAGAAUCAGAUUCAAAGGUGAAGAGCUCAGAAAGCAAAUUGGAGCAGAGUUACCUUAUAUCUAAUGCAGUGCCAACACGCAACAGUUAUGACAAAGGCAAAUGCAUUACGGGCUAACGGGGUAGAAGACCAAGAUUAUGAUGCCAUUUACGUUGAGCUUUCUGGGAAGAUGAAGAAGAGAAAGCAAAUUACCGGAGCCGGUUAGGCACUUAGCAUUUACUUCCCAUAUACUACCAGUUCGUCGUGCGCGGAGUUGGAGAAGCAAAAUGCUAGCAGAGUGAGAUAAGCAAAAUGCAGACUUGUGCGUGGAGCUAGAGAAGAAAUAUGCGGAGUUGCUAGACUAGUUGAAGAAUCUUAGUCAACAAGUUUACGAAAUGAGAAGUCAAAAUAUAUAUAGUCCUAUAGAAAUGUAAAACAUUAUUAUUAAUUUUAUGUAAAUUUUGAAUUUUGUUA